rnacentral:misc_RNA from 1 species
GCUACACUAAUAAAUCAAAUUCCAGGAUUGUGUAAAUUCUCUUGGGAUUUCAGGUCAACAGACAAAAGUAACUAUGACACCUUGGCAUAGAACAUUAAUGGGACUUUUCUGGCAAUGGUCUGAAGGGUCUUUACAGUUGGAAGCUACAUUCAGGUAUUUGUUCCUAUCUGCAUGUUAUUUGUUAUUGGCCCAGAUCCCCCUUGUUGUAGGUCUUGUUUCAAAAUAAGUGUAGUUCGUGGAACAAGGAGUAGAAGCCUUAUGCCCUACCCAUCAAUUAGUUCUAUUAAGAUGUUUCAUGCCAGUCAUUUGGCAAGUUACGAGUUACCUGUGAAAAAGUUAUUUCCUUGGUUUUCUCACAAAAGAAAAUCUCUUCUUCAAGUUUUGAUCGUGGUUAUCCCUGUUGUCUUGGGACAAUAAAACGAUUGUGUUCGUGUUUUUCGCUCAAUUAAAUGAUUGUCCAAGUCUUACAUCUGUGCAUUCUUAAUUAUUUCUUCACGCCUGUAUUGUACAUUGAGCAGACUUGCGUCUUUUUGAAAAUGACGUAACAACUUAUCUGGAAAUUUGAUUGGCAUCUGCAACUCAUUUAAGAUAUCAUGUGUAUGCCAUUUAGUAAGAAAAUGUACCGUAAGAAGUGCUGAAUUUUGUAGGCAAAGUAUGCAGAAUAUAAUCUUUUAGCUUUUUAUUUCGAAAAACUUGAUUUGUAGGUUUGCAGGAUUUGACUUCCAUCUGAUUUAGAUGACAGAGGGGUAUGAUUUGUAUCACACACAUCAUUUGGUGGGGCAGACCAAUGAUGAAGAUGUAACUUGGUGGUUCAUGCUGACAAACAGGGAUGUAGAACACGGACCUUUGAGACCAAAACCCAAACAAAACUUCAAUAUUCUUUAUCUUAUGGUAGUUGCAAUGGGUGUCAGAAAGUGAAGAGGUUCCAAUGAGUAAUUAAAUUCAUUGGUAGCACUGUAAAGUUGGGAUUAGCGCAACUUUCUCAUAUUUUAUCUUAAAUGCUACAAAACUCAGA